rnacentral:lncRNA from 1 species
AGCCCUGAAUGGUGCUAUGCCCGUCAUCGGCACAGCUAGGGCCACUGUGGGAGCAGCGCAGAGGCCUCCUCCCUGACUCACCUGAGAUGUCUUUCCCUCCCCUCCCGCACCCCUGCUGAAGCGGCCCUCGGCUUGAGCUCAUCCCCUCCCCCCACCAGGAGACAAAUGAAUUGCUUCCCCAUCUGGCCCGGAGCCACAGCCCCUUUCCUCACCUCCAGCAGGCACUGCCUCCGGGACAGUAACGUUUGCUGCCCUCACUCCUCUCCCCAGCAGGCUGGAGCCUCUACCCUUGGCGUUCAGGAGCCCGGCACUGGGCCAAGCUGGAUGAGUGUCCAUGAACCCUCAAGAUAAAUGUGAUGCUCCCAGUUUUACAAAAGAGAAAACCGCGCCCCCCAAGAGGCAACGCAGCUUGCUCAAGAUCAGGGCAGGUACGCGGGGCCAGCAUUUAAUGGCCAGCGGCGUGAAAGCUGAGCCUGCCCCCCACCCCCGCCCGGCCCCAUGCAGCCCCCAGUGACGGCACACAAGGGGUCCGGUUUCCGUCCUUCUUCCAAAUGCUCUCCCCUCGGCGGCUUUGCACAUGAACAAUGAAAGCCGGCAGAGGUUUCCCACCGACUCCGGCGGCACCGGGAGGGUGGCCCCCAGGAGCAGGGACUGCCCACCAGGUGAGGAAGACAUAUAAACGCAAGCCACUUCCUACUGGCUGGGGGGCGGCGAGGACCCCGGCGGUAUUGACUGUUGAUCCAUCACGGUGAUACAUGAUCGCAUAUGUCACAGGGAGACACAUAAUCUGCUUCACGCUGUUUCCGACCUCCGGGGGGAGCAGGUUGUCUAAGCACCUCGAUGCCAUGGUGAUAGACGUCAUGUUAAUGCCUCUGUGCACGGAGGGAGCAUUAUAAAGGCAUCGGUCUGCGCCUCUAGGAGUCUCUUUACGACUUGGCACUGGGAGGCGGCCGAGCGCCAAGCCGCCUCGGAACGAGGACGCGGGCUCUGCCCCCGCGCCUGUCUGUCCUGGCAGGUGCUGCUCUGCAGCCUGGGCCCCCAGACGGUGCAGGCCUUGAUCUUCACCUCUUCGC